UACGGAGGGUGCAAGCGUUAUCCGGAUUCACUGGGUUUAAAGGGUGCGUAGGUGGGCAGGUAAGUCAGUGGUGAAAUCUCCGGGCCUAACUCGGAAACUGCCAUUGAUACUAUCUGUCUUGAAUACCGUGGAGGUCAGCGGAAUAUGUCAUGUAGCGGUGAAAUGCUUAGAUAUGACAUAGAACACCAAUUGCGAAGGCAGCUGGCUACACGAAUAUUGACACUGAUGCACGAAAGCGUGGGGAUCAAACAGG
rnacentral:rRNA from 1 species